rnacentral:rRNA from 1 species
AGUCACUGACAUUAGAUACCCCGGUAGUCCAGGGUGUAAACGCUGCGGGCUUGGUAGUUGGGGGGUCCUUUGAGGGCGCCCAGUGCCGGAGAGAAGUUGUUAAGCCUGCUGCUUGGGGAGUACGUCCGCAAGGAUGAAACUUAAGGAAUUGGCGGGGGAGCACCGCAACGGGAGGAGCGUGCGGUUCAAUUGGAUUCAACGCCGGACAACUCACCAGGAGCGACGGUUACAUGAAGGCCAGGCUGAUGACCUUGCCUGCUUUUCCG